AUUGAACGCUGGCGGCAUGCUUUACACAUGCAAGUCGAACGGUAACAGGCCGCAAGGUGCUGACGAGUGGCGAACGGGUGAGUAAUGCAUCGGAACGUGCCCAGUCGUGGGGGAUAACGCAGCGAAAGCUGUGCUAAUACCGCAUACGAUCUAUGGAUGAAAGCGGGGGACCGUAAGGCCUCGCGCGAUUGGAGCGGCCGAUGUCAGAUUAGGUAGUUGGUGGGGUAAGGCUCACCAAGCCAACGAUCUGUAGCUGGUCUGAGAGGACGACCGGCCACACUGGGACGGAGACACGGCCCAGACUCCUACGAGAGGCAGCAGUGGGGAAUUUUGGGACAAUGGGCGCAAGCCUGAUCCAGCAAUGCCGCGUGCAGGAAGAAGGCCUUCGGGUUGUAAACUGCUUUUGUACGGAACGAAAAGGUUUGGGUUAAUACCCUGGGCCGAUGACGGUACCGUAAGAAUAAGCACCGGCUAACUACGUGCCAGCCGCCGCAGUAA
rnacentral:rRNA from 1 species